GUCGAGGAUCAUUCGCAAUGGGCGAAAGCCUGACGAUGCGACGCUGCGUGGAGGAUGACGGCCUUCGGGUUGUAAACUCCUGUCAUGAGGGAAAAACGGACCCGAGACAACAUCAAUGGAACGAGAUGGUACCUCAAGAGGAAGCCACGGCUAACUCUGUGCCAGCAGCCGCGGUAAUACAGAGGUGGCGAGCGUUGUUCGGAUUUACUGGGCGUAAAGGGCGCGGAGGCGGCCGCGUGUGGGUGUGAAAUCCCCGGGCUCAAGCCGGAAAGUGCGCCCCAAACUGCGCGGCUGGAGUGCGGGAGGGGAGAUCGGAAUGCAGGGUGUAGCGGUGAAAUGCGUUGAUAUCCUGCAGAACACCGGUGGCGAAGGCGGAUCUCUGGAACGCAACUGACGCUGAGGCGCGAAAGUCGGGGGAGCAAACAGGAUUAGAAACCCGGGUAGUCC
rnacentral:rRNA from 1 species